rnacentral:tRNA from 1 species
CGGGAAGUAGCUCAGAUUGGUAGAGCACUUGGUUUGGGACCAAGGGGUCGCAGGUUCGAAUCCUGUCUUCCCGA